UCCCUUUGUCACACUACUUCCCCAUGCAGGCUGAUGGAAUUUUCCAGGGUUCUGGGGCUGGAUGUGACCUCUGUGGUCUUUAGAUGUUUGGCGGAGAUUACCAGGACAGCAACAUCCUGACUGUCAAAAGAUCUCAUUCGGUGCCCGGACAGGCCAAGUAGGUCCACCCUCCCCCAAGUGUCUGGGGGCCUGGCCUGAGAUCAGAGGUCCACCAGCGUCAGCCCGCACCCUGCCCAGCGCGUCAGGAGGCGCCUUCUCAGCACAGAACAAUGCCGAUCCAGAACUGAGGACUCCAUGCCUACAUGCUGGGCCAGGGCUGGCUGCCAACCUCUUUCAAGCCAAAGCU